rnacentral:lncRNA from 1 species
GUAAAAUUUAAGUUAUCAGAUUUAUCCCUUCAAGAUUCUUCCGUCUGUAAAUAUAUUAUUCUAUUAAAAAAAUUUAUAUAACCAUGAGUUAAACAAACUAAUUACAGUUAAUUAAGGGAUAAAAUAACCUUUUUAUCCUUUAUAUAUAAAUUUAUAUAUAAUUUUUUGAGAGAGAUAAGUAGCAUGUUACCCACUUCGUUUAUUUCAUUUAGAAAAAAAUUUAGCUGAAAAUGUGAAUUAACUAGAAUUCGAACUUGGGUCUCGAGUACCAACCACCAAUCCUUUGCCACUUGAUAAAGUUAAAAUUAAAAAAUACUAAAGUGAAUAUUCGAUAAACCUAUGUGGAGAUAUCUGAAAUUUUUUGUAUAUAAUUUAACAAAAUAUUAACUAAAAAAUUAACGAAAAAAUAAAAUUAAAUUUAUAAGACAAUAUAUUUUAAAUCACGAAAUACUAAAAGGAGAACGUGCGAAACCACAUGGGUGGUUAUUGA